rnacentral:lncRNA from 1 species
GGCCUUUCUAGGAGCCAGCUUGCUUUCAUCUUACUGUUUUGAUUGUGCCUCACAAGGGACAACACUCCGAUUGUCUAGGAGGAGGAAGGUCAGGGACAGAAAAGUAAAAGCCAGGAGCAGCCUGUCCUGUCUGCCUGGGCUGCUGGGGAAUGAUUGUCAGUGAAUCGAGUUGUCUGUGGAGCCCCUGAGCAAAUUCUCCCAGUGGCAGCAGAUCUCGCAAAAGGGGAGGAAGGCCUUCACCGCUGAACCCGAGCUUUGCCAUUUCGAAGUGCUGAGUCACCUCGUCCUCUCAGGGUCAGACACUUUCACGCAGGAAACGUCCUGCAGAGCACCGCAGCGGGAGCACCGAGCUGGGUGGUAAUUUAUUCUAGAACCGAUGUGCCAGCGUUUCCUUCUGUGUGCUUUGAGUAGGAGCAGGAACAACGGAUCUCUCCAAGCAUGGGCAGACGGAGAGCUGCAACCCUUGGACCAACCAACGCCUGCCAGUGGGCGCCUGCAUCCCACGCCUGCAUCCCGCGUGCAGGCUACUGGCAGGUGCUCUGUGUCUCACUCCAUCUUUACCUGCCCUGUAAAGGAGGAACUGUUGUUUUUAGUCUCCUGGAGCAGCCGCGCCUUCCCACAGCACUCAGACUUGAGGAAGCUUAAGAAGCUGAGACCAGAGAGGGCGAUGUCCACCUUGGUGACGAAGCACUCUAGAGGCUGCCGCCACACUUAAAAAGUGACCAGUCACCAACAACUCAUCUUAAGUACAGGAAGAAUGCCAGCAGCUGAAUGAAAUUCUUGCUUUCCCUGGUGAACAACGAAGGGGAAGGGAAUGGAGUGUGGUGAAAGAGAGGGCAGAAAGGCUGCCAGUGUCCUCUUCAUCCCUGCCCCACCCCCACCCCCACCCCCCAGCACAGAGAGACCCGGGAAGAUUUCAAAUCUUUCCUUUAAGUGGCGGCUAAGGACAAAAUGAAAUGACUUAGCCACCUAUCAUGGUCUUUACUGAGUUAUAUCCAUGGAUAUAAGAUAAUUUGGCAUCUAAAAAACAAAGACAGGGCCAGUAAAAUGGCUCACUGGGUAAAGGUGCCCGCUGCCAAGCCAGAGCACCUGGGUUUGGUCCUUGGAACUCACACGGUGGGGAGAACAGAUCCCUUCAUGCUGUGUGCUGAUGCCCACAUGCAUGUUAGGAAAACACUUCCAGCCCCCUAAACUAACUUUUUCUAUUCCGUACUCUGCCUGUGACUAGACCUGGAAGGAGAGAACAAGGGCCUUCCUGAGGCAGGACAAGGACCCAGAACUACCCAGAAUGCAGCAGGGCGGCCCCGCACGACUGAGCUCUGAUCCUAACCUGCAAAGUGAAGUUUCAAUUUCCACUUCCUGAGAAGAUGUGGAAACUCAGAGAGGAUGCCACUGUUUUGAACUAUUUUGAAGGCACAGCCACCAGAGCUUUAGGUCAGAAGAGGUCCUUGGAACUGGAAUUACAGGUGGCUGUGAGCCUCCAGGUAGGUGCUGAGAAUCAAGCAGCCUGGCUCCUCUGUAGGAGCUCUAAGGAAUGCUCUUACCUGCUGAGCCAUCUGUCCAGCCCUGAUUGUCCUGGCUGUUAAUUGAGGAAGGAAGACUUACUCUGAGGGAGGGCUGAGCCAGUCCCCAGGCUGCUCCCUGAAUGGUAUGUAGAGGAGGGGAGCCAGCUAAGCACUGACCAGCGAGGGUGUGCACAUUUUCUUUGGUCUUUGUUUUGAAUGUGGUGUGGCUGGCUGCUUCAAUUCCUGACUUGAUUUCCUCAAAAGGAUAGGCUGUAACCCAGAAUGGUAAACUGCCUU